rnacentral:rRNA from 1 species
UACGUAGGGUGCGAGCGUUAAUCGGAAUUACUGGGCGUAAAGUGUGCGCAGGCGGCCGAGCAAGUCGAGUGUGAAAGCCCCGAGCUUAACUUGGGAACUGCGCUCGAAACUACUUGGCUAGAGUGUGGCAGAGGGAGGUGGAAUUCCACGUGUAGCGGUGAAAUGCGCAGAUAUCAGGAGGAACACCGGUGGCGAAGGCGGAUCUCUGGGCCUGUCCUGACGCUGAGGCGCGAAAGCUAGGGGAGCGAACAGG